rnacentral:tRNA from 2 species
GCAGAGAUGGCUGAGCUGGUCUAAGGCGCACGACUGGAAAUCGUGUUUACGGGGAACCGUAACAAGGGUUCGAAUCCCUUUCUCUGCGCCA